rnacentral:rRNA from 1 species
CCUACGGGAGGCAGCAGUGAGGAAUAUUGGUCAAUGGGCGAGAGCCUGAACCAGCCAAGUCGCGUGAAGGAUGACGGCCCUACGGGUUGUAAACUUCUUUUGUCAGGGAGCAAUUUGGUCCACGCGUGGGCUUAGCGAGAGUACCUGAAGAAAAAGCAUCGGCUAACUCCGUGCCAGCAGCCGCGGUAAUACGGAGGAUGCGAGCGUUAUCCGGAUUUAUUGGGUUUAAAGGGUGCGUAGGCGGAAUAUCAAGUCAGCGGUAAAAAUUCGGGGCUCAACCCCGUCGUGCCGUUGAAACUGAUGGUCUUGAGUGGGCGAGAAGUAGGCGGAAUGCGUGGUGUAGCGGUGAAAUGCAUAGAUAUCACGCAGAACUCCGAUUGCGAAGGCAGCAUACCGGCGCCCAACUGACGCUGAAGCACGAAAGCGUGGGUAUCGAACAGGAUUAGAUACCCUUGUAGUC